rfam:Triticum aestivum genome assembly, contig: Triticum_aestivum_CS42_TGACv1_scaffold_374758_5AL
UUCGUACUCCCUCCCUCCGCCCGAAAAUACUUAUCAUUAAAAUGGACAAAAAAGAUGUAUUUAAAAUUAAAAUACAUCUAAAUACAUUUUAUUUAUUUAUUUUGAUGAUAAGUAUUUUCGAAGGGAGAGAGUACGAG